GAAAUGCGAUAAGUAAUGUGAAUUGCAGAAUUCAGUGAAUCAUCGAAUCUUUGAACGCAUCUUGCGCUCCUUGGUAUUCCUUGGAGCAUGCCUGUUUGAGUAUCAUGAAAUCUUCAAAGUAAAUCUUUUGUUAACUCAAUUGGUUUCUACUUUGGUAUUGGAGGUCUUUGCAGCUUCACACCUGCUCCUCUUUGUUCAUUAGCUGGAUCUCAGUGUUAUGCUUGGUUCCACUCGGCGUGAUAAGUUAUCUAUCGCUGAGGACACUGUAAAAGGUGGCCAAGGUAAAUGCAGAUGAACCGCUUCUAAUAGUCCAUUGACUUGAACAAUACUUUUAUGAUCUGAUCUCAAAUCAGGUAGGACUACCCGCUGAACUUAAGC
rnacentral:misc_RNA from 1 species